rnacentral:rRNA from 1 species
CACUCCUACGGGAGGCAGCAGUGGGGAAUAUUGCACAAUGGGCGCAAGCCUGAUGCAGCCAUGCCGCGUGUAUGAAGAAGGCCUUCGGGUUGUAAAGUACUUUCAGCGGGGAGGAAGGCGAUAAGGUUAAUAACCUUGUUGAUUGACGUUACCCGCAGAAGAAGCACCGGCUAACUCCGUGCCAGCAGCCGCGGUAAUACGGAGGGUGCAAGCGUUAAUCGGAAUUACUGGGCGUAAAGUGCACGCAGGCGGUCUGUCAAGUCGGAUGUGAAAUCCCCGGGCUCAACCUGGGAACUGCAUUCGAAACUGGCAGGCUAGAGUCUUGUAGAGGGGGGUAGAAUUCCAGGUGUAGCGGUGAAAUGCGUAGAGAUCUGGAGGAAUACCGGUGGCGAAGGCGGCCCCCUGGACAAAGACUGACGCUCAGGUGCGAAAGCGUGGGGAGCAAACAGGAUUAGAUACCCUAGUAGUCCCAU